rnacentral:rRNA from 1 species
GACGAACGCUGGCGGCGUGCCUAACACAUGCAAGUCGAACGGAACUGUUUUGAAAGCUUUCUUCGGAAUGAAUUUGAUUUAGUUUAGUGGCGGACGGGUGAGUAACGCGUGAGUAACCUGCCUUCAAGAGGGGAAUAACAUUCUGAAAAGAAUGCUAAUACCGCAUGACAUAUCGGAACCACAUGGUUUUGAUAUCAAAGAUUUUAUCGCUUGAAGAUGGACUCGCGUCCGAUUAGUUAGUUGGUGAGGUAACGGCGCACCAAGACCGCGAUCGGUAGCCGGACUGAGAGGUUGCACGGCCACAUUGGGACUGAGACACGGCCCAGGCUCCUACGGGAGGCAGCAGUGGGGGAUAUUGCGCAAUGGGGGCAACCCUGACGCAGCAACGCCGCGUGAAGGAUGAAGGUUUUCGGAUUGUAAACUUCUUUUAUUAAGGACGAAAAAUGACGGUACUUAAUGAAUAAGCUCCGGCUAACUACGUG